rnacentral:rRNA from 1 species
GCUUGUCUCAAAGAUUAAGCCAUGCAUGUCUAAGUAUAAAUAACUCUGUACUGUGAAACUGCGAAUGGCUCAUUAAAUCAGUUAUAGUUUAUUUGAUGGUACUUACUACAUGGAUAACCGUGGUAAUUCUAGAGCUAAUACAUGCGAAAAGACCCGACCUCUGGAAGGGUUGUAUUUAUUAGAUACAAAACCAAUCAGCCUCGGCUGUUUGUGGUGAGUCAUAAUAACUUUGCGAAUCGUAUGGCCUCGCGCCGACGAUGGAUCAUUCAAAUUUCUGCCCUAUCAACUUUCGAUGGUAAGGUAUUGGCUUACCAUGGUUGCAACGGGUAACGGAGAAUUAGGGUUCGAUUCCGGAGAGGGAGCCUGAGAAAUGGCUACCACAUCCAAGGAAGGCAGCAGG